CACUAAGAUGCUACAAAUGCCAAAAGUUUGGACAUGUAGCGGCUGUAUGCAGAGGUAAACAAAGGUGUGCGAGAUGCGGUGGAGAGCAUGAAUAUGGCAAAUGCGAGCAAGGAGUUGAUCCCAAGUGUUGUAAUUGUGGAGGGGAGCAUAGUGCGGGAUAUGGAGGAUGUGAGGUGAGGAAAAAUGCAGCUCAAGUGCAAAAUGUAAGAAUAAAGGAAGGAUUGUCAUAUUCGGAGGCGGUGAAGAAAGUAGGAAAUACUUUGGAAUCAGGGGAUAAAGGUAAAGGAAUUCCUCAACAAAAGAUGGAAACGGCUCAGGGAAAAACUAAAGAGAACUUUGGGAUUAAGAAUAAUGUGGCAUUUGUAACCUUUAUAGCUGAAGUGGUGAAUUGUUCUGCGCAAACAGAAAGCCGGACUGAAAGAAUCAGAAUAAUAAUAAAAGCAGCUGAAAAAUAUCUAGAGAUUGAGGGGAUUUCUGUGGAAAUGAUUAGUGAAAAAUUAAAGAUGCAGUUAACAAAUACGCAAGCAGGAUGUGGUGGUUCAUAAUGGUGCUUUUAAUAUUCCAGUGGAAUGCGAGAAGCUUAAUUGCUAAUGGACAAGAGUUUAAAAAAUUCAUCUCUGAUCUGGAUAAAAGACCAGAUAUUAUAUGUAUACAGGAGACAUGGUUUAAACCUCAGUUAAAUUUUGUUUUGCAAGGGUAUCAAUUAAUUAGGAAAGAUAGGAAAAACUGUAAUGGAGGUGGGGUAGCAAUAUUUAUAAAACAAGGGGUGGGAUACAGGAAUGUAGAAGUGAGUGAGGAUCAAGAGGCGUUGAUGAUGGAAGUAUGGGAAGGGAAUCAAAGUAUAAAAAUAAUUAAUUUUUAUAAUCCAUGUGAAAAGCUAUGUAAGAAUGCAAUGGAAAAAAUAAGAGGUAAUACUAGUCAGAAGGUAGUAUGGUGUGGUGAUUUUAACGCACAUAAUACAUUAUGGGGGAGUGUUAAAACAGAUUAUAAUGGGUUAAUAGUGGAAGAAAUGCUAGAUUGGGGACGGUUAGUAUGUAUUAAUAAUGGAAAUAUAACAAGAAUAGAUGUGAGUAAUGGGCGUAAUUCAGCAUUAGAUAUUACUCUAGUUUCAGAAGAUCUAGCUAGAAAAUGUGAAUGGAGUGUAAGCAAGCAAAGUUCAAUGGGAAGUGAUCACUAUCCAAUAUGGUGUCAAAUUGGUGUGGAUAUUGUACAAACUGUGGUGGAGAGAAUGCCAAGAUGGAAAUUUAAGGGAGCUAAUUGGGAGCUUUUUAAAGAACUGUGUAAUAACAAUAUGAACGAAAUGGGAGAAAUUGAAGAAAUAGAAGAGUUAAGUAUGAAAGUAAUUAAAGUGUUAAGAAAUACGGCAGAGGAAGUAAUAGGAAAAACGAAAACUAUAAGUAGAAGAAAAGCAGUCCCGUGGUGGAAUGAAAAAUGUAGUAAGGCAGUGAGGGAAAGAAAUAAAGCAAUGAAGAAAGCCAGAAAAUCUGUAUUGUUUACUGAUUACAUUAUUUUUAAGAGAGCUCAGGCUAUGGUUAGGAGAGAAAUAAGAAUAGCAAAAAGAAUGUUCUGGAGAGAAUAUUGCAAUAGAAUAGGGGAAGACAUUGAAAUAAAUGAUGUUUGGAACAUG
ensembl:lncRNA